rnacentral:rRNA from 1 species
UGCGUAGGUGGCUUCUUAAGUCAGGAGUGAAAGGCUACGGCUCAACCGUAGUAAGCUCUUGAAACUGGGAAACUUGAGUGCAGGAGAGGAAAGUGGAAUUCCUAGUGUAGCGGUGAAAUGCGUAGAUAUUAGGAGGAACACCAGUAGCGAAGGCGGCUUUCUGGACUGUAACUGACACUGAGGCACGAAAGCGUGGGGAGCAAACA